rnacentral:lncRNA from 1 species
AUCUGGUGCUCAAGGUUCUCCUUUCUGAAGGUAUCCCUUCAGUAAGUGUGUGCCCAGCAUCUUCACGGCACUUACGAUUUUAUGAUCUCUAGGCUGAAGAUUCCUCAGUCACUUAGAUGUACUUGGUCAUCAAAGUGGGAGUGAGUGCAGCCCUGCUGGCUGCUGGAGCCCCAGGGAUGCUAGCUGGAGAUGUUGAUCCAAAGAAGACAUGAUACGGAAUGAGGAAUCACCUGUCAAAGGCCAGGCUCCACGUUCAGUGAGCUGGAGCUUUAGGUUUCUUGGAAAUAUUGAUCAGUGUCUCUUCCAGGGCUUUUAACUGCCACGGUGAAAGGCUCAUGUCUGGCUUCUCCUGGAGAUCAACCUUAAGCUUGUAACUGUCAGAGUGCAGUACAGGGAUCACGUCUGAAGGAAAACAUCUUCCUAGGUCGGGAAAGCAUCACGCCUUCAUUUGUUACAUUCCUCAGAUAAUUCUAGCUGUCUGCUGAA